CAUAAAUGAGGGAGAUGGAUGUUAUUAUUAAUGUUAUUAUUAUUAAGGUUUCUACCACUUCAGUACUCUCUUGGUUUUUUUCUGUUUUCUCCAUGGUUUUCCAGAGUUGCCAGCAGCAAUUUUGAGCAGACCAUGGCUGUAGACCUGGCAUCAGAUGAAGUGUCAUAAAGCAUUACAAAGCCAAAGAGGAGACAAGGAAUCCUUGCUUCUGAUUUUGCCUGGAAAGACUCUUGACUACUUCCAAGUGUACAUCUGAUAUCAAGCAAGCAACUAUUAAACUUUUCAAAUGCAACAAGCUUUGCUGAACCCCUCCCAUAGUCAUUGCUAUUUGCAGUGAAUUCAGCAAAGUCAAGAGGAAAGACCAUGAUUCCUGACUCAAAGAUAUUUGAAUCACCUGAAUGUCAGCAUACCCAGUGCAGUGUAAGAACAUACUGCUAUGACACCAGCACCAUAGCCAUCAGGCUCUGAGACAUCUGAUGGAGGCAUGGAGCCAUCUCAGUUUACAUCUGAUGCAUUUUUACAGCCUGUUGGGAUUUCUGGUGACUUCUCUUCCCCGUGGUGAAAACAAAAGAAUACUUCUGUGCAAGAUACUGCAAAGUAUCACCCUUCUAUCUCAUGUCAUAAUGAAAGUUCGCAGGCAAGAGGACACCAAUUAGCUGCAUCUUUUGAUGCUUCAGUUGAAAGUAUAAACAAAACCAAAUCAUCCUUCCCAUUGGAAGAAAGUAUAAACAAAUCAGAGUUUGGAAAACCAUGGUUGAAAUACAUUUUUGUAUUUUUUUUUGUUUUUGUAUUAGAAAAAUAAAAUCAUUUUCCG
rnacentral:lncRNA from 1 species